GACGAACGCUGGCGGCGUGCUUAACACAUGCAAGUCGAACGGUGAAGCGCCUUCCUUUUUGGUGGGUGUGGAUGAGUGGCGAACGGGUGAGUAACACGUGAGUAACCUGCCCCCUUCUUCUGGAUAACCGCAUGAAAGUGUUGCUAAUACGGGAUAUUCUGGGUCUGUCGCAUGAUGGGUCUGGGAAAGAUAUUGUUUCGGUAGGGGAUGGGCUCGCGGCCUAUCAGCUUGUUGGUGGGGUGAUGGCCUACCAAGGCGGUGACGGGUAGCCGGCCUGAGAGGGUGGACGGUCACACUGGGACUGAGACACGGCCCAGACUCCGACGGGAGGCAGCAGUGGGGAAUAUUGCACAAUGGGCGCAAGCCUGAUGCAGCGACGCCGCGUGAGGGAUGGAGGCCUUCGGGUUGUGAACCUCUUUCGCCAGUGAAGCAGGCCUGCCUCGUUUGUGGGUGGGUUGACGGUAGCUGGAUAAGAAGCGCCGGCUAACUACGUG
rnacentral:rRNA from 1 species